rnacentral:rRNA from 1 species
CGCUGGCGGCGUGCUUAACACAUGCAAGUCGAACGCUGAAGCUCCCAGCUUGCUGGGGGUGGAUGAGUGGCGAACGGGUGAGUAACACGUGAGUAACCUGCCCCGAACUCUGGGAUAAGCGCUGGAAACGGCGUCUAAUACUGGAUAUGUCCUAUCACCGCAUGGUGUGUAGGUGGAAAGAAUUUUGGUUCGGGAUGGACUCGCGGCCUAUCAGCUAGAUGGUGAGGUAAUGGCUCACCAUGGCGACGACGGGUAGCCGGCCUGAGAGGGUGACCGGCCACACUGGGACUGAGACACGGCCCAGACUCCUACGGGAGGCAGCAGUGGGGAAUAUUGCACAAUGGGCGCAAGCCUGAUGCAGCAACGCCGCGUGAGGGAUGACGGCCUUCGGGUUGUAAACCUCUUUUAGUAGGGAAGAAGCGAAAGUGACGGUACCUGCAGAAAAAGCACCGGCUAACUACGUGCCAGCAGCCGCGGUAAUACGUAGGGUGCAAGCGUUGUCCGGAAUUAUUGGGCGUAAAGAGCUCGUAGGCGGCUUGUCGCGUCUGCUGUGAAAACCAGAGGCUCAACCUCUGGCCUGCAGUGGGUACGGGCAAGCUAGAGUGCGGUAGGGGAGAUUGGAAUUCCUGGUGUAGCGGUGGAAUGCGCAGAUAUCAGGAGGAACACCGAUGGCGAAGGCAGAUCUCUGGGCCGUAACUGACGCUGAGGAGCGAAAGCAUGGGGAGCGAACAGGAUUAGAUACCCUGGUAGUCCAUGCCGUAAACGUUGGGAACUAGAUGUAGGGCCUGUUCCACGGGUUCUGUGUCGUAGCUAACGCAUUAAGUUCCCCGCCUGGGGAGUACGGCCGCAAGGCUAAAACUCAAAGGAAUUGACGGGGGCCCGCACAAGCGGCGGAGCAUGCGGAUUAAUUCGAUGCAACGCGAAGAACCUUACCAAGGCUUGACAUAUACGAGAACACUGUAGAGAUACAGGACUCUUUGGACACUCGUAAACAGGUGGUGCAUGGUUGUCGUCAGCUCGUGUCGUGAGAUGUUCGGUUAAGUCCGGCAACGAGCGCAACCCUCGUCCUAUGU